UGAGCAAUCUGCCCUUCUCUUCGGAAUAAGCGUUGGAAACGACGUCUAAUGCCGAAUACGACCUCCUUUCACAUGAUCGGAGGUGGAAAGCUCCGGCGGAGAAGGAUGAGCUCGCGGCCUAUCAGCUAGUUGGUGUGGGUAAUGGCCCACAAGGCGACGACGGGUAGCCGGCCUGGAGAGGGUGACCGGCCACACUGGGACUGAGACACGGCCCAGACCUCCGUACGGGGAGG
rnacentral:rRNA from 1 species